CUUGCCGUCACUUUUUUGUACCCUUUUUCUUGGUUUCAGUAUAAAUUCCAGCCUUUCCAUGUGUUUCGUUUUCUUGGACCUUAUGGACUUUGGAUAUCGCCUACUUCUUUACGGAUUUACCUGUUUGGACUGCCCUUCCUGGUUUUGAACUGAGGCUGCCCAACAACUCCAGCUGCAUUCCCCAAGAUAUGAAGUGAUGUCCGUGUCCGGGAGGUCCAGGAUCUGGAGCGUCUUAUAUACAAACUGAUCUGGGAACAGUGAGGUCAAAGCACACCUAAAGCUACAGAAGUGAACAGCACCCCAGAGCUGUGAGGGGAUUCAAUGUCAGGCUCAAGGACGCUUCAGCAGGACGGACGGAUACAUGCUGACAUGUGAGGGCGUCAACGCGCGUCCUCCAGCUGAAGGGUACAUCGCUAUGAUCCCUGAGACGAAUUCAAGAUUAAUGACAUCGAUUUAUUCGUUAUUUUAUUUAUUUAUUAUUCGGAACAAACCAUGACCGAGCGCCUUUGUAGACUGGAAUACUGAAGUUAGACACUAUCAAACUAAAACUGUCGAAUAAAACCUCACAAGCUCCAGCGAGGUUUUCCCUCUGUGCUACCAUAAAGACGCCGUAACAUCUGUCUAUGUAAAAAUGGACAUGAACUGUAUGGUUAUUACAGAGCUGGAAGUGGUGGCAGCACAGAUAACAGCUGCUGGAGUAUGUAUAAUAUAAUAAUAUAGCUAUAUAUUAUCACACGUGACACCUGAGAAAGUUCAAUUUGUUAACAAAAGCUGAGAAAUAAAAUCAAAUGUUCGGAAGAAGUAGUUAAGUGAGCCUUGAGAUUAGAAUAUUUUACCACAGAUACACAAGUACUUUUUUUAGAUUUUAGUUUUCAGUCAAGACUUUAAAUUCAGACCUUUGUCUUUACUUUUCAGUGUUCAGCAUAGUUUGAAUUUUAGGUGAAAGUGUUUGUUUUUGUGUGCUUGUAGUUUUUUAAAUAUAUUCUGAAACAAUAUUUUUGUCGUCCUCCUACUUUUACCUCAUUAAAUUUUUUUGGUAAUUAGCUGUCACAUUUUCUUGGUGCCCUUUUAAAGUGACCAAAGUAAUUAACUCAUACUCAGAAAACUUUCUUAAUUUAAGUCAUGAGUGCAUAAUUCACAGACUCCUUCUUUACCUGGUAGUAGUAAAAAUAGUGGCAGCGAGUAGCUCUAAUAGCAAUGUGGUACUUGUGGAGGUGUUGAUUAGUAGUAUUGGUGCUGAUUGUAGCUCAGGAGGUAGAGCGGGUCGUCCACUAAUCAGAUGAUCUAUGGUUUGAUCCCUGCACGUCAAAGUGUACUUACUGAACCCCAAAUUGCUCUCGUAAGCUGUGCAACACCUUUACGCCUCAACACCUCCUAAAAACUUCUUCCUACUCCUUUUUGAACAUGUGCGAUUUAAUUUAAAUUUGCACUGGUUAAGAGAACUUAACAGUUGAGUUUGUGUGUGUGUGGGUUUGACCUGUUUUGGUUUUUUUUUUGUAUACAUCUUUUCUUUUUUAUUUUGGCUUUUAUAAAA